UUUCUUGAAUUGAUAAACUCAAAGAAUUUGGCGGUGUUUUAGUCUAUUAGAGGAAUCUGUUCCGUGAUCGAUAAUUCACGAAUUAUGCUACUUGGUUUUGUAAUAUAUCAGUUUGUAUACCGCCGUCAUCAGAUUAUCCUUUCAGGGUUGAUUUUCUUGAAAUUUAAUUGUAUUGUAUGUCAGGUCAAGGUGCAGCUAAUGAUUAAGUGGAAAUGGGUUACAAUAAAGUUAUUUAUACGGAUUUUGGUGUGAAAGACUUAUUGAAGGUGGAUUUAAUAGUAAAGUUGUUUUGUUAAUAUAUUGAUUUUAGCUCUAAAACAUGC
rnacentral:rRNA from 1 species